ACAGUUUCUUUCUAAAAACUGUUUACGUUUUUGAUUCUUUAUGUUUUUGUUCAACGUUUUGCCUGAUGAUGGUGUCUUGUACACUGAAAACGUUUGCAAUUAAAAGUUGUUUUGGUGUAUGCUCAUCUGUCAUAUAGUGCUUUUGUUUUUCUUUAAUAGUGGCGUUUUAAGGCAGUCAAAGUAGUUUUUAGUUAUGUACCUUAUUCUUUACACUGGUGUCUGUUACCAGUGCCUUCUCAAUGUUAAUCUGUUUAGCAGAUCUAUUGGACUUUAUUGGUUUACUCUGUGAGGUUGAUGGAUUAGGAUUACUUGCAGAGUGGAUGUGGAACUUCUGCAUUCUUUCACAGACAAAAAUAUUGUCUACAACUGCAAUAUUCUCAAUAGUAAAAGACUCAACAUGUGGUCAUGAGAUCUCUGAAUACUUAUGGAAGUGGUAUUUACAGUUUUCACAGCAGCUAUAAAAGUUUUUGCAAGAUAUAGGGUUGUUUGAAAAGUAAUUUCAUUUUUUUCCCCAUGAGAGGCAUUAAUUAUAUUUUUAACCUGGCAAUUUCAUUC
rnacentral:lncRNA from 1 species